rnacentral:rRNA from 1 species
CUCCGGUUGAUCCUGCCGGACCUGACUGCUAUCGGAUUGGUACUAAGCCAUGCGAGUCGUUGUAGCAAUACAAGGCGGACGGCUCAGUAACACGUAGUCAACCUAACCUAUGGACGUGGAUAACCUCGGGAAACUGAGAAUAAACCGCGAUAGAUCAUUAUGCCUGGAAUGGCUUAUGGUUCAAACAAUUUAUUGCCGUAGGAUGGGACUGCGGCCUAUCAGCUUGUUGGUGAGGUAAUGGCCCACCAAGGCUAUAACAGGUACGGGCUCUGAGAGGAGAAGCCCGGAGAUGGGUACUGAGACACGGACCCAGGCCCUAUGGGGCGCAGCAGGCGAGAAACCUUAGCAAUGUGCGAAAGCACGACUAGGUUAAUCCGAGUGAUUUCUGUUGAAGAAAUCUUUUGUCAGUCGUAAAACCACAGACGAAUAAGGGGUGGGCAAGUCUGGUGUCAGCCGCCGCGGUAAUACCAGCACCUCGAGUGGUCAGGAGGUUUAUUGGGCCUAAAGCAUCCGUAGCCGGCUACGCAAGUCUCCGGUUAAAUCCAGCUGCUCAACAGAUGGGCUGCCGGAGAUACUACAUAGCUAGGGAGCGGGAGAGGUAGACGGUAUUCUGUGGGUAGGGGUAAAAUCCACUGAUCCAUAGAGGACCACCAGUGGCGAAGGCGGUCUACCAGAACGCGUUCGACGGUGAGGGAUGAAAGCUGGGGGAGCAAACCGGAUUAGAUACCCGGGUAGUCCCAGCUGUAAACGAUGCAAACUCGGUGAUGCAUUGGCUUAUGGCCAAUGCAGUGCCGCAGGGAAGCCGUUAAGUUUGCCGCCUGGGAAGUACGGACGCAAGUCUGAAACUUAAAGGAAUGGCGGGGGAGCA